rnacentral:rRNA from 1 species
GAUGAACGCUGGCGGCGUGCCUAAUACAUGCAAGUCGAGCGAACAGACGAGGAGCUUGCUCCUCUGACGUUAGCGGCGGACGGGUGAGUAACACGUGGAUAACCUACCUAUAAGACUGGGAUAACUUCGGGAAACCGGAGCUAAUACCGGAUAAUAUAUUGAACCGCAUGGUUCAAUAGUGAAAGACGGUUUUGCUGUCACUUAUAGAUGGAUCCGCGCCGCAUUAGCUAGUUGGUAAGGUAACGGCUUACCAAGGCAACGAUGCGUAGCCGACCUGAAAGGGUGAUCGGCCACACUGGAACUGGGACACGGUCCAGGCUCCUACGGGAGGCAGCAGUAGGGAAUCUUCCGCAAUGGGCGAAAGCCUGACGGAGCAACGCCGCGUGAGUGAUGAAGGUCUUCGGAUCGUAAAACUCUGUUAUUAGGGAAGAACAAAUGUGUAAGUAACUAUGCACGUCUUGACGGUACCUAAUCAGAAAGCCACGGCUAACUACGUG